rnacentral:pre_miRNA from 1 species
GUUAUACUCCCUCCAUCUUAGAAAUUUUGUCUUAGAUUUGUCUAGAUAUGUAUGUAUCCAGUCAUGUUUUAGUAUUUAGUUACAUUCAUUUUUAGACAAACCUAAGAUAAGAAUUUUGGAACGGAUUGAGUAGUUG